rnacentral:rRNA from 1 species
GACGAACGCUGGCGGCGUGCUUAACACAUGCAAGUCGAACGGAAAGGCCCUGCUUUUGUGGGGUGCUCGAGUGGCGAACGGGUGAGUAACACGUGAGUAACCUGCCCUUGUCUUUGGGAUAACUUCAGGAAACUGGGGCUAAUACCGGAUAGGAGCUCCUGCUGCAUGGUGGGGGUUGGAAAGUUUCGGCGGUUGGGGAUGGACUCGCGGCUUAUCAGCUUGUUGGUGGGGUAGUGGCUUACCAAGGCUUUGACGGGUAGCCGGCCUGAGAGGGUGACCGGCCACAUUGGGACUGAGAUACGGACCAGACGCCUACGGGAGGCAGCGGUGGGGAAUAUUGCACAAUGGGCGGAAGCCUGAGACAGCAACGCCGCGUGCGUGAUGACGGCCUUCGGGUUGUAAACCGCUUUCGCCUGUGACGAAGCGUGAGUGACGGUAAUGGGUAAAGAAGCACCGGCUAACUACGUG